rnacentral:rRNA from 1 species
GUUUGAUCCUGGCUCAGAUUGAACGCUGGCGGCAGGCCUAACACAUGCAAGUCGAGCGGCAGCACGGGGAGCUUGCUCCCUGGUGGCGAGCGGCGGACGGGUGAGUAAUGCAUAGGAAUCUGCCCGGUAGUGGGGGAUAACGUGGGGAAACCCACGCUAAUACCGCAUACGUCCUACGGGAGAAAGCGGAGGAUCUUCGGACUUCGCGCUAUCGGAUGAGCCUAUGUCGGAUUAGCUGGUUGGUGAGGUAACGGCUCACCAAGGCGACGAUCCGUAGCUGGUCUGAGAGGAUGAUCAGCCACACUGGGACUGAGACACGGCCCAGACUCCUACGGGAGGCAGCAGUGGGGAAUAUUGGACAAUGGGCGAAAGCCUGAUCCAGCCAUGCCGCGUGUGUGAAGAAGGCUUUCGGGUUGUAAAGCACUUUCAGCGAGGAAGAAAGCCUUUGGGUUAAUACCCCAAAGGGAGGACAUCA